rnacentral:rRNA from 1 species
AGGAGUUUGAUCCUGGCUCAGAUUGAACGCUGGCGGCAUGCCUAACACAUGCAAGUCGAACGGAAACGAUGGGAGCUUGCUCCCAGGCGUCGAGUGGCGGACGGGUGAGUAAUACUUAGGAAUCUACCCAGUAGCGGGGGACAACUCGAGGAAACUCGAGCUAAUACCGCAUACGCCCUACGGGGGAAAGCAGGGGGUCUUCGGACCUUGCACUAUUGGAUGAGCCUAAGUCGGAUUAGCUUGUUGGUGAGGUAAAGGCUCACCAAGGCGACGAUCCGUAGCUGGUCUGAGAGGACGAUCAGCCACACUGGGACUGAGACACGGCCCAGACUCCUACGGGAGGCAGCAGUGGGGAAUAUUGGACAAUGGGGGCAACCCUGAUCCAGCAAUGCCGCGUGUGUGAAGAAGGCCUGCGGGUUGUAAAGCACUUUCAGUAGAGAAGAAAAGCCUACGGUUAAUACCCGUGAGUCUUGACGUUACCUACAGAAGAAGCUCCGGCUAACUCCGUGCCAGCAGCCGCGGUAAUACGGAGGGAGCGAGCGUUAAUCGGAAUUACUGGGCGUAAAGCGCGCGUAGGCGGCUUUGUAAGUCGGAUGUGAAAGCCCUGGGCUCAACCUGGGAAUGGCAUUCGAUACUGCAGAGCUAGAGUAUGGUAGAGGGAAGUGGGAUUUCCGGUGUAGCGGUGAAAUGCGUAGAUAU